GUUUCUGUAGUGUAGUGGUUAGCACGUUUGCCUGACAUACAAGGGUUCCCGGUUGGAAGCUGAGUGGAAACA
rnacentral:tRNA from 1 species